GAACUUACCUGGCAGGGGAGAUGCUAUGAUCACCCUGGGCGAGCCUCCUCCAUUGCUCUCCCCCUGCGAUUUCCCCAACUGUGGGAAACUGGACUGCAUAAUUUGUCGUGUUUGUAAAGUAUAUCAAGAUAAAAUCAUAU
rnacentral:snRNA from 1 species